rnacentral:rRNA from 1 species
UGUGAAUUGCAGAAUCCCGUGAACCAUCGAGUCUUUGAACGCAAGUUGCGCCCCAAGCCACUAGGCCGAGGGCACGUCUGCCUGGGUGUCACGC